CCUACGGGAGGCAGCAGUCGAGAAUCAUUCACAAUGGGGGAAACCCUGAUGGUGCGACGCCGCGUGGGGGAAUGAAGGUCUUCGGAUUGUAAACCCCUGACAUGUGGGAGCAAAUUAAAAAGAUAGUACCACAAGAGGAAGAGACGGCUAACUAUGUGCCAGCAGCCGAGGUAAUACAGAGGUCUCAAGCGUUGUUCGGAACAAAUGGGCGGAAAGCGUGCUGAGGCUGUUUCGUAAGUCGUGUGUGAAAGGCGCGGGCUCAACCCGCGGCCGGCACAUGAUACUGCGAGACUAGAGUAAUGGAGGGGGAACCGGAAUGCUCGGUGUAGCAGUGAAAUGCGUAGAUAUC
rnacentral:rRNA from 1 species